GACGAACGCUGGCGGCGUGCUUAACACAUGCAAGUCGAACGGAAAGGCCCUGCUUUUGUGGGGUGCUCGAGUGGCGAAAGUGUGAGUAACACGUGAGUAACCUGCCCUUGACUUUGGGAUAACUUCAGGAAACUGGGGCUAAUACCGGAUAGGAGCUCCUGCUGCAUGGUGGGGGUUGGAAAGUUUCGGCGGUUGGGGAUGGACUCGCGGCUUAUCAGCUUGUUGGUGGGGUAGUGGCUUACCAAGGCUUUGACGGGUAGCCGGCCUGAGAGGGUGACCGGCCACAUUGGGACUGAGAUACGGCCCAGACUCCUACGGGAGGCAGCAGUGGGGAAUAUUGCACAAUGGGCGGAAGCCUGAUGCAGCAACGCCGCGUGCGGGAUGACGGCCUUCGGGUUGUAAACCGCUUUCGCCUGUGACGAAGCGUGAGUGACGGUAAUGGGUGAAGAAGCGCCGGCUAACUACGUG
rnacentral:rRNA from 1 species